UGUUAAUCUUAUAACAUUUUAAACUGGGGCUGUGUGCCUUCAAGCUUUGUAGUUAAUGAUAAAACUCUGGUACGGUUGUCCUAAGAAACAAGCAAAGCAAAGCAAAUUACAGAAGUGAAAGACAGGUUAUUCUGUAGUUCCUUAACAUUCUGUAGGUUUCAGGCUAUUUACAGGAGUUCUCUUUAGCAAAAUCAUCACAGGGAGACCAACGCCUUGCCAGACGUGUGAGACAGCGGCCUGGGAAGCUGGUCUUCCAGACUGGCUCUGGGUUCAGAGAACUGCAGCCUCAUGAGAAGCCCUGCCCCAGAAAGAAAUCUGAGAAGUCAGAUUUGUCGCUGAAACCCUAGGCUCCAAGACAGUUUUGUACCCAGUGGUACAUGGGUCUCCCUGCUGCUCAGAGUUUGCCUGGCUGUUUCUACCUGGCUGAGCUGCACAGAUGCACAGACAGUGGCGCCCAGGGCCACCCUGCAGGAGUCGUGACACCAGCAGUUCUGUCCUCCGGGGCUUGGGAGGCCCUAGGCUCAAGUUCUCGCCCCAGUGGAUGUCGAUUCGGGGGCACAGGGAGAAGCAGAGUUUUCAGUGUCGCUCGGCUGCUAAGGAAAUCAGGCUGCGUUUCCAGCAGUCUGGAUUUGACAGACCUCAGCCCGCGGUGCCGUGUGGCACGCACCCCAUCCGAUACCCCACAGCCCAGCCCCUUCAUGGGUGCAGCCGUUCUCCCUGGAGUACCCUCGGGAGGUGCCCGACUUCCAGCAGCCACCAUCAGGGAGGUCGGUUUGUCCCUCCAUCGCCAGAGCUCCCUGUGACCCUCCACCUCAGCAGCCCCUGAGAGGGGAGCCUGUCCCAGCCCACCAUUCCACAAUGGCUGGAAAUGAUAUGGGAGACAGGGCCAGGCUGGCCUCAAACUCGCAAUCUUCCUGCCUCAGCCUCCCGGGUGCUGGGAUUACAGGUGUGCUCCUCCGUGCCCAGCUUGCAGCUGUUAAGCACCCUGUGUGAGCCAGGCGCACACGAGCCUGUCUGACAGCUGUGGGUGUGCAGGGUGAGAGGGAGGCUGGGAGGCUGUCGGGCAGAAGGCGACAGCCGACUUGACACACAAGUAGGGCCCAGGCAGCGCUCCUGAUUUUACCCCCCAUGGCGGUGGGGAGGGUACGAUCCUGGCUGAAGUCCUGGAGGAGCAGCAAAGUGGAAUGAGACUGACAUGCUUUCAAAGAGGGGAAAGCUGGCCAGACUCGGGGUCAAACGUCCCCUCAGCGACAGGGACAGGGGAGCGGAAGAGACGGGGGAAGGCAGCUGGGGUGGGGAGCAU